rnacentral:rRNA from 1 species
UAGCUCACUAGUCGAGUGACCCUGCGCCGAAAAUGUACCGGGGCUAAACAUAUUACCGAAGCUGUGGAGUACACCUUUAGGUGUAUUGGUAGGAGAGCGUUCUAAGGGCGUCGAAGGCAGAUCGUGAGGACUGCUGGAGCGCUUAGAAGUGAGAAUGCCGGUAUGAGUAGCGAAAGACAGGUGAGAAUCCUGUCCACCGAAUGACUAAGGUUUCCUGGGGAAG